AAACAAAUAAUGUAUUCAACGUACGUUUUAUCAAUAUCAAGAAUUGAUUGAUGAUUGGCAUCAUGAUAUGGAAUGAAUUGAUGAAAAAGGAUCCUAUCAUUGUUGCAACUCUGUUUGAGUACUUACGUUUGAGGAAUGGAUAUCAUUAUUUUCAAGUUCAAGAGACAGAUGUACUAAGAUAUGGCAGCUCAAUGCCGGAACAUGCAUACACUCUGUUUAUGUUGGUGAUCCAUUAAAAUCUUUGGCAGUAGAUUUGUUUAACAGGCACCCUGAUUUCAUCCCUUUUGUUAGCUGUGGGAACUGAGGAAUAUUUGCUGUAUUCCAGAUUUUACACUGAUGGGACUGUAGGCUAAUUGCCAAGAAAUGUAUCACUCAAACUCUAUCACUACCACUAGUGGACGUUGGUUAAGAGAACUGAGUUUGAUGGCUAUGAAAGAAGUGAUGCUGGUUUGUGAGAAUUACAAUUUUAACCCCCUAAUAUUCUUUUAUCAUGUGGCUAUUAGUAUGACACAGCUGUGAGACUAUGGGAUCUUUUCUUGGGAAGAAGGUGGAAUAUAUUUUCCUUUGAUUUUCCCUGAUUCCUUUGUGACAAAAUGUAUUGAAUAAGAAGAACAAAUAAAGCAAAAAGGUGUUUGAGUAAUCUUCACAGUAGCUGCAUUAAGAAAUUGGAAAAUCCUUGCUACUCCACA